GCCACCAAUUUGAGGGGGGGUGGAUGGUGUAGUGGUAAGCACUGUUCAUGGAAUGCUUUCUCAAGUAGGCACUUGGUGUUGGGGCCACCACUGCUGAGACAAGAAGGUAGUGGGUUCGAAUCCCACCCUCUCCAAAAGGAUAUUAUCACAUCUUGAUGGAUAUUGGGGGUACCCUUUCUUAUCUCAUUUCUAUUGGUAACUGCCACUGCAGGGUGGAGCAAUGUUCAACACUAUGUAUAUAGUCUAGAUGGAUUCAGUAUAGUGUGGGAUUCUAAGGUGUUGUGAUCCCUACAUGUCUAGUUCAGAUGUAUUAGGCCACUAGGGCAAAAGAGCUCGAUCACCACCAGCGCCGUGGUGGUAUAGAGGGUACGAAUCACCCAAUCCAAUCCCCCCAACAAGAUGCCAAGGGACUGCUUAUUGCGUGAGCAAUUGUGGGGUCAAAGGCCCCCCUUGAGGGCUAGAUCCAGAAUGGUAUAGUGAAGUCUCUCCAUCAAGGAUGACUCAGUUAUGAAUAGGGGAAAUGUAACUAGAGAGUAGCCGAACAUAAGGGUAGGCUAGUGAGGUGAAGGCUGUCAUAGUCUCUGACUGCAUAUAGCCUUAGAAAAAAUAUGAAGAACAACAACAACAACAACAGCCACCAAUUUGAGGCGCCCAACAGAUUUAUUUGUGUAUU
rnacentral:sRNA from 1 species